AAAAAAGAUUUAACAUUGUAAUAAAAUAUGUUUUGUCCAGGGGAUGGAGGGACUUUAUUGAAGUCUUCUUGGACUCACAUGACCAAAGAAGUACAGACUCUUCACAACCUGCUCAAACUCUUCGUACAAGACCUCACCACACGGGUCAAGAAGGUUUCCAUCUCAUUUCUACUCUGAAGCUCACCUUCUCCUGCUCAAACUGCUGACAAAUGUUUCUGCUGCUCUAAAGUCUGGUCUCCAGAACUUCCUAAAAACUCUCAAAGUCUCUUCUGCUGCAGGUUGCUUUGUAGAACUGUUCCAGAAAACCUCACUAAACCACAUGGAGGGGCCUCAAGAUAGUCGUCCAAAUGAAACCAUACAAAAACCAAACUAGCACAACCUAAACGCUAAAGUCUCCUGCAGCCUACCAGAGAACCUCUGAGAACAGAGAAUCAGGACAGGAACUCUUACCUUCUGGACAACCAAGAAUACAGAAUGUGUCUGACCAAAAACCUCUAAAGACUCACUACAGCCAAGAUAAGACACAACUCAGCUGCACCAAAUCCACUAAUCACUGCACACAUUAGCACCAUGUGCCAACUGUGGCUAAAGAACCACAUUUACCAAGACAAUUAUCCAGUACAAAGCCCUAAAACACACCAAGAAACACAUUAAAGACGAUUUUACUGCUGGAAGCUGCAAGCCAACGCCUAAAGAACAAACUAAAGCAAUGAAGCCAAACCCGGUUCAGUGGUGAAGAGAAGCAGAGGAAAUGUUUGGCUGCAGCUAAAUAAAGCAGGAAGACACUGAGCUGCUCAGGUGUUCCUGAUAACACUGAGCUGCUCAGGUGUUCCUGAUAACACCAAGCAGCCACCUGGACAGCCAAUAGGAAC
ensembl:lncRNA